UGCAUAUCAAAGGUUCUAGGUGCUAUAUAUAUGAAAGUGAUAUAGUUAAAUGGGAAGACCGGUGAGAAACCGGCACGGACCCGCCACUGUAAUAAUCACGCCGCAUGAAGACGGCAACUCUUAGCAAGAUGUCACUGGGUGUGAACCUGGGAAGACGCGAAGGGAGAUUAAAGUCAGGAGACCUGCCUAGAUCAACAACACAAU
rnacentral:ncRNA from 1 species